rnacentral:rRNA from 1 species
UGCCAGCCGCCGCGGUAAGACGGAGGGGGCUAGCGUUGUUCGGAAUCACUGGGCGUAAAGCGCGCGUAGGCGGCUGAUCAAGUUGGGCGUGAAAGCCCGGGGCUCAACCCCGGAACUGCGCCCAAAACUGGUCAGCUAGAGACCGAGAGAGGGUGGUGGAAUUCCCAGUGUAGAGGUGAAAUUCGUAGAUAUUGGGAAGAACACCAGUGGCGAAGGCGGCCACCUGGCUCGGUUCUGACGCUGAGGUGCGAAAGCGUGGGGAGCAAACAGGAUUAGAUA